rnacentral:lncRNA from 1 species
UUUAUAAAUAUUGUUUGGAUAUGACGCCAGACUCCAUGUUCAUUUCCUAGGUGAAGAACCCCAAACACUAGGAGACUAAAGAAGAAGAAGUUAUGAUCCAAAUCAAGUCUGAAAUUUCUUUCAACUGAUUGCUUUCCCUGCUAGUAACUCAAUAGGCAAUACUACUUCUUUCAAAAAUCAGUGAACGGAAGUGCUAUGAAGAAACAAAUUGGGAGAAAUCUUCAUUCUUCCCUUCUGCAGUCCCAGUGGAAAAUCCACCAUGUUUACGAGGCCUCAAACUCUGACUUUCUGUCUCAUCCGCCUGGGAGACUGCUGGAGGUUCUGAUCGACGCCUGCCACCUGUGAAUUGCUGCAAUCGUUGGGAGAAUUUCCUGCCUGGGAGUCUGGAAACUGCCAAGAGUGAAAAGCCGCAGCCAGCCAGCGAGGCCUCUGUUGUCAUUGGCCCAAACAACAACAAAAACAGCCACAACCACCACCACCACCACAACAAAACACGCCACGUGUGCACAAGCACACACAAACACGCCCACAGAACCAACCAAACGGACAAGGCUUCAAGGAGAAGCUUCUGGGCUGCGCGUUCCGGCAGCGAGGCCUGUCCCUUGGCACGGGGCCAUGGCAGCCCAGUUCCCAGCCCCCCACCAUCUGUCAUCAGCACUCUGCCUACUGUCAAGAGACACAGAGAAUUAAUCAUGAACCCAGUUGCCUAGAGGAGAAAAUAAUCUAUUUGUGGCAGUCUGAAAAAGCAAGAAGUUAUACGGUCCUUCUGCAGCUACAGUCACCAGAAAAUGGAAGAAAAUUUGACCGGCUAUUUUGGGACAGUGAAAGAAACAGAUCUGGAGAGCUGUAGAAAUGGAGAAAGUAAGAGGUGAGAUGGGAAAUUGCAAACAGAGAGGUAUGUGUUAUACAGUUGACUACAUUUUCCAAGUAUUCAGAAAUAAAUUAGUGACAUUCCUGAAUGUGCUGGAAUGU